rnacentral:lncRNA from 1 species
UUAUGGGGCAGGAGCACUUAGGGGGCAGGGGCACUUAUGGGGCAGGAGCACUUAUGGGGCGGGGGCACUUAUGGGGCAGGGACACAUCACUAUGGGGCAGGAGCACUUAUGGGGCGGGGGCACUUAUGGGGCAGGAACUCACCCAGGGAGUGGCGGGAGACAUCGGGGACGUUCUCAUAUUGCUCGGGGGGGGUGGCUGUGGGGCAAUCAGUGGGGUCAGUGGGAUCUAUGGGGUCAGUGGGGUGUAUGGGGUCAAUCAAUGGGGUCAGUGGGGCAAUCAGUGGGGUCAGUGGGAUCUAUGGGUUCAAUCAAUGGGGUCAGUGGGGUGUAUGGGGUCAGUCAAUGGGGUCAGUGGGGCAAUCAGUGGGGUCAGUGGGGUGUAUGGGGUCAAUCAGUGGGGUCAGUGGGAUCUGUGGGGUCAGUGGGGCAAUCAGUGGGGCCUAUGGGGUCAGUGGGGCAAUCAGUGGGGUCAGUGGGAUCUAUGGGUGGGAUCUAUGGGGUCAGUGGGGUGUAUGGGGUCAGUCAGUGGGGUCAGUGGGAUCUGUGGGGUCAGUGGGGCAAUCAGUGGGGUCAGUGGGAUCUAUGGGGUCAGUGGGGUGUAUGGGGUCAGUCAAUGGGGUCAGUGGGGUGUAUGGGGUCAGUCAGUGGGGUCAGUGGGUGGGGUCAGUGGGGUGUAUGGGGUCAAUCAAUG